UAUAUAUUUAAUAAAAAGUGAAGUAGAUUUUCCAACAAUAUGUUAAAUUUUUUGAAACAAAGCCGCAGAUUUGUGAAUUCGACAGAGCCCGUUUGCAUUGUUUUGGGCAAUGAGUCGUGCGAUUUGGAUUCCGCCGUGUGUGCAGUCACACUUGCCUACCAUUAUCACCAACAAAAUGUCGCCAGUAGACACACCACGCCUAAUUUUCUGCCAGUCCUUAAUAUACCACGUCGCGAUUAUGCGCUUAAAACUGAAGUUAAUUACGUUUUCCAACAACAUGCAAUUGGCGACGAGCACUUAACUUUUCGCGAUGACCUACAAGAGGACUAUUUAACACGCAGUGUUCAAUUGAAUUGAAGGCUUGUCUCUGGAGAGGAUGUGGCAGCUUUCUUCACGUUGAUUCGAUUCGCUAUCCUGAACAAAACACGCCUAGCUUUGCAAAGCCUGCUUCCUCAAACUUCUUGGCGAUAGCGACAGCGGAUAUUGAAGGGUACUCCUUGAUAUUCCGAGCAACUUUAAUGUCAGGCUGGGCUUUUUUGGGCUUUCCACUACCAACAAGCGUUCAAACUUCACCAGUCUUCUUGAAUUUAACAAUAGUUUUUUAUUAUCAGAUUUUUUGACAAAUUUCGCGAAUUGUUAUUGUAGCGGCGAAAACAUUGCUGAAGUAAUUUGGAGGAAUGCUGCCGGUUUGAAAGUCUCUGGACGGAUAAAAUCCGGAUCCAUUUCGGUUAAGUAGACCCGACUGUUGCGAAAACGGAUUUAUUAUUGCAGUUUAAAAGCUAAAAUAGUUUAAGA
rnacentral:misc_RNA from 1 species